rnacentral:rRNA from 1 species
AUUGAACGCUGGCGGCAUGCUUUACACAUGCAAGUCGAACGGUAACAGGUUAAGCUGACGAGUGGCGAACGGGUGAGUAAUGCAUCGGAACGUGCCCGAUCGUGGGGGAUAACGCAGCGAAAGCUGCGCUAAUACCGCAUACGAUCUGAGGAUGAAAGCGGGGGACCGUAAGGCCUCGCGCGAUCGGAGCGGCCGAUGUCAGAUUAGGUAGUUGGUGGGGUAAAGGCUCACCAAGCCGAGGAUCUGUAGCUGGUCUGAGAGGACGACCCGCCACACUGGGACUGGGACACGGCCCAGACUUCUACGGGAGGCAGCAGGGGGGAAUUUUGGACAAUGGGCGAAAGCCUGAGCCAGCAAUGCCGCGUGCAGGAAGAAGGCCUUCAGGUUGUAAACUGCUUUUGUACGGAGCGAAAAGGCUCUCACUAAUACAGGGGGCUCAUGACGGUACCGUAAGAAUAAGCACCGGCUAACUACGUGCCAGCCGCCGCCGUAACAC